rnacentral:rRNA from 1 species
GACGAACGCUGGCGGCGUGCCUAAUACAUGCAAGAAGAACGCACAGUUUAUACCGUAGCUUGCUACACCAUAGACUGUGAGUUGCGAACGGGUGAGUAACGCGUAGGUAACCUGCCUGGUAGCGGGGGAUAACUAUUGGAAACGAUAGCUAAUACCGCAUAAUAUUAAUUAUUGCAUGAUAAUUAAUUGAAAGGUGCAAUUGCACCACUACCAGAUGGACCUGCGUUGUAUUAGCUAGUAGGUGAGGUAACGGCUCACCUAGGCGACGAUACAUAGCCGACCUGAGAGGGUGAUCGGCCACACUGGGACUGAGACACGGCCCAGACUCCUACGGGAGGCAGCAGUAGGGAAUCUUCGGCAAUGGACGAAAGUCUGACCGAGCAACGCCGCGUGAGUGAAGAAGGUUUUCGGAUCGUAAAGCUCUGUUGUAAGAGAAGAACGGGUGUGAGAGUGGAAAGUUCACACUGUGACGGUAUCUUACCAGAAAGGGACGGCUAACUACGUG